rnacentral:rRNA from 1 species
AAGGGCACCACAAGAACGCGUGGAGCAUGUGGCUUAAUUUGACUCAACGCGGGAAAUCUUACCAGGUCCGGACAUAUUGAGGAUUGACAGGCGAUAGUAAUAUUAUUAUAUAAUAUUGCAUAAAAAUGAUAGUCCUUUCAUGAUUAUAUGAUAGGUGGUGCAUGGCCGUUCUUAGUUCGUGGAGUGAUUUGUCUGCUUAAUUGCGUUUCAGAUAUAUAAUUAUAUAAUAUAUUAUAUAGUAAUAUAUAAUUUAAUAUUGUGCUGCCUUAUAUAUUAUUUAUAAGGAUUUUAAGUGAACAUAUUUUAUUAUACAUAUAUUAUUAUAUAUAUUUAUUAUAUAUUAAAAUGAAUGCAACGAACGUGACCGUAACCUUUUAUUGCUAUAAAUAAUAUAUAUUAUUUAUAUUAUAAUAUAGCAUAAAAUUAAAGGGACCGCUGUCUAAAUUUUAGUGUUAAAAUAGAGUAAGAUUACGGCAAUAACAGGUCUGUGAUGCCCUCAGAUGUUCUGGGCUGCACACGUGCUACAAUAAUUACAUUAAUAAGUAUCUAUUAUAAUACAUAAUAUGUUUACAUAUUAUAAUAAACCUAUUUCGAAAGUAAAUGGGUAAUCAUUUAAAAAUCGUGAUUAUUCAUACAUAUAUGGUAUAUUAAUAUUGUAUAAUACUAUACAUUUUAUAGUACUAUUACAAAUACCAUUAAUUAAUUUAAGGUGGGGAUAGUGUAUUGUUAAUUAUUACACUUGGCCUUAACUAGGAAUGCCUUGUACUCUUCUUUGGUUUAACAUACCAAGAGGAAUACGUCCCUGCCCUUUGUACACACCGCCCGUCGCUCUUACCGAUGAAUUAUAUUAUAAAUCUAAGGGACAUACAUAUCCUGAAAUUGAAUAUAUUGAAACUUAUAUACAUAAUGUGAUUUAAAGGAAAGAGAAGUCGUAACAAGGCAUCGUAGGUGAACCU